GAAGCCCACGCGUUUUGAAAAUAAAUAAAUAAAUAAAUAAUGAAAAAACAACGAAAAACGAAAAAAAAUAAAAAAUAAAAAUAAAUAAAUAAAUAAAAUAUAACAGAAAAAUCUUGGACUUGGACCUCUCUCAUUUGAGCCCACAAAGUCACGAAAAUCAGGUUAUAAAUUCUAAAAAAAUUCAGUGGAAAAACCCUAGAGAGAUUCUAACUAAUUCAGAGCAACCUCCAGAGACUGAAAGGAACUCAUCUGCAAAG
rnacentral:lncRNA from 1 species